GUGGGGAAUAUUGCACAAUGGGGGAAACCCUGAUGCAGCGACGCCGCGUGAGUGAAGAAGUAUUUCGGUAUGUAAAGCUCUAUCAGCAGGGAAGAAAAUGACGGUACCUGACUAAGAAGCCCCGGCUAACUACGUGCCAGCAGCCGCGGUAAUACGUAGGGGGCAAGCGUUAUCCGGAUUUACUGGGUGUAAAGGGAGCGUAGGUGGCAUGGUAAGCCAGAAGUGAAAACCCAGGGCUCAACUCUGCGGAUUGCUUUUGGAACUAUCAGGCUGGAGUGCUGGAGGGGUAAGCGGAAUUCCUAGUGUAGCGGUGAAAUGCGUAGAUAUUAGGAGGAACACCGGUGGCGAAGGCGGCUUACUGGACAGAAACUGACACUGAGGCUCGAAAGCGUGGGGAGCAAACAGG
rnacentral:rRNA from 1 species